GACAGAGGGUGCAAACGUUGCUCGGAAUCACUGGGCGUAAAGGGCGUGUAGGCGGGAAGGUAAGUCGGGCGUGAAAUUCCCCAAGCUCAACUUGGGAAUACUGCACUCGAAACUACUUUUCUUGAGUGUCGGAGAGGAAAGCGGAAUACCUGGUGUAGAGGUGAAAUUCGUAGAUAUCAGGUGGAACACCAGUGGCGAAGGCGGCUUUCUGGACGACUACUGACGCUGAGACGCGAAAGCGUGGGGAGCAAACAGG
rnacentral:rRNA from 1 species